AGAAUCAACGCUGGCGGCGUGCCUAACACAUGCAAGUCGAACGAGAAAGUGGAGCAAUCCAUGAGUAAAGUGGCGACCGGGUGAGUAACACGUGACUAACCUACCUUCAAGUGGGGGAUAACCUAGGGAAACCUGGGCUAAUACCGCAUAACAUCCUUAGAGUGGAAACUCCGGGGAUCAAAGGAGCAAUUCGCUGGAAGGAGGGGGUCGCGGCUGAUUAGCUAGUUGGCGGGUAAUGGCCCACCAAGGCUUUGAUCGGUA
rnacentral:rRNA from 1 species